rnacentral:rRNA from 1 species
GACGAACGCUGGCGGCGUGCUUAACACAUGCAAGUCGAACGGUGAAGCGCCUUCCUUUUUGGUGGGUGUGGAUGAGUGGCGAACGGGUGAGUAACACGUGAGUAACCUGCCCCCUUCUUCUGGAUAACCGCAUGAAAGUGUGGCUAAUACGGGAUAUUCUGGGUCUGUCGCAUGAUGGGUCUGGGAAAGAUAUUGUUUCGGUGGGGGAUGGGCUCGCGGCCUAUCAGCUUGUUGGUGGGGUGAUGGCCUACCAAGGCGGUGACGGGUAGCCGGCCUGAGAGGGUGGACGGUCACACUGGGACUGAGACACGGACCAGACUCCGACGGGAGGCAGCAGUGGGGAAUAUUGCACAAUGGGCGCAAGCCUGAUGCAGCGACGCCGCGGGAGGGAUGGAGGCCUGCGGGUUGUGAACCUCUUUCGCCAGUGAAGCAGGCCUGCCUCGUUUGUGGGUGGGUUGACGGUAGCUGGAUAAGAAGCGCCGGCUAACUACGUG